rnacentral:rRNA from 1 species
UUGAACGCUGGCGGCAGGCCUAACACAUGCAAGUCGAGCGGUAGCACAGAGAGCUUGCUCUCGGGUGACGAGCGGCGGACGGGUGAGUAAUGUCUGGGAAACUGCCUGAUGGAGGGGGAUAACUACUGGAAACGGUAGCUAAUACCGCAUAACGUCGCAAGACCAAAGUGGGGGACCUUCGGGCCUCAUGCCAUCAGAUGUGCCCAGAUGGGAUUAGCUAGUAGGUGGGGUAACGGCUCACCUAGGCGACGAUCCCUAGCUGGUCUGAGAGGAUGACCAGCCACACUGGAACUGAGACACGGUCCAGACUCCUACGGGAGGCAGCAGUGGGGAAUAUUGCACAAUGGGCGCAAGCCUGAUGCAGCCAUGCCGCGUGUGUGAAGAAGGCCUUCGGGUUGUAAAGCACUUUCAGCGGGGAGGAAGGCGAUAAGGUUAAUAACCUUGUCGAUUGACGUUACCCGCAGAAGAAGCACCGGCUAACUCCGUGCCAGCAGCCGCGGUAAUACGGAGGGUGCAAGCGUUAAUCGGAAUUACUGGGCGUAAAGCGCACGCAGGCGGUCUGUCAAGUCGGAUGUGAAAUCCCCGGGCUCAACCUGGGAACUGCAUUCGAAACUGGCAGGCUAGAGUCUUGUAGAGGGGGGUAGAAUUCCAGGUGUAGCGGUGAAAUGCGUAGAGAUCUGGAGGAAUACCGGUGGCGAAGGCGGCCCCCUGGACAAAGACUGACGCUCAGGUGCGAAAGCGUGGGGAGCAAACAGGAUUAGAUACCCUGGUAGUCCACGCCGUAAACGAUGUCGAUUUGGAGGUUGUGCCCUUGAGGCGUGGCUUCCGGAGCUAACGCGUUAAAUCGACCGCCUGGGGAGUACGACCGCAAGGUUGAAACUCAAAUGAAUUGACGGGGGCCCGCACAAGCGGUGGAGCAUGUGGUUUAAUUCGAUGCAACGCGAAGAACCUUACCUGGUCUUGACAUCCACAGAACUUUCCAGAGAUGGAUUGGUGCCUUCGGGAACUGUGAGACAGGUGCUGCAUGGCUGUCGUCAGCUCGUGUUGUGAAAUGUUGGGUUAAGUCCCGCAACGAGCGCAACCCUUAUCCUUUGUUGCCAGCGGUUAGGCCGGGAACUCAAAGGAGACUGCCAGUGAUAAACUGGAGGAAGGUGGGGAUGACGUCAAGUCAUCAUGGCCCUUACGACCAGGGCUACACACGUGCUACAAUGGCAUAUACAAAGAGAAGCGACCUCGCGAGAGCAAGCGGACCUCAUAAAGUAUGUCGUAGUCCGGAUUGGAGUCUGCAACUCGACUCCAUGAAGUCGGAAUCGCUAGUAAUCGUAGAUCAGAAUGCUACGGUGAAUACGUUCCCGGGCCUUGUACACACCGCCCGUCACACCAUGGGAGUGGGUUGCAAAAGAAGUAGGUAGCUUAACCUUCGGGAGGGCGCUUACCACUUUGUGAUUCAUGACUGGGGUG